rnacentral:rRNA from 1 species
CAUGCAAGUCGAGCGAACGGACGAGAAGCUUGCUUCUCUGAAGUUAGCGGCGGACGGGUGAGAAACACGUGGAUAACCUACCUAUAAGACUGGGAUAACUUCGGGAAACCGGAGCUAAUACCGGAUAAUAUUUUGAAACGCAUGGUUCAAAAGUGAAAGACGGUCUUGCUGUCACUUAUAGAUGGAUCAGCGCUGCAUUAGCUAGUUGGUAAGGUAACGGCUUACCAAGGCAACGAUGCAUAGCCGACCUGAGAGG